rnacentral:rRNA from 1 species
UCGCCGCCCGCCCCUCGGCGAAAAGUCCAUUGAACCUUAUCAUUUAGAGGAAGGAGAAGUCGUCCCCGUGUUUCCGUAGGUGAACCUGCGGAAGGAUCAUUG